GGCAAACCUGCCACAAAAACGCAGCAACACCACAAAAACUACGUUGAGAACCACCACAAAAAGCUAGCAGCAUCACCGCCACAAAACCCCUCCGAAAACCAUCACAAACCAUCACAAAAAACGCAGCAAACUAACACCACCAUGAACACGGGCGAUGGAGAAAACAAUUGCUGAGAGAAACCGGUGGCCGAGUGAUGCGGACGGCCUAAGCCAAUCAUCGCACCACCAACGAUUGAAUCUACAUCGCGGCGGAUAUAGGUUAGAUUGGAAGGAAGGAGGGUGACGGUGGAGAUCUAGAGAGAGGUCAGAGAUGUUUCUACAGAGAGAAAUUUAGGGUUUGCAUUUUUAUUUUAGUUCUAUUUUUUUUUUACUUUUAAUUUCCCCCAAGAGUUUUCUAUCAUCAUUUUUUGUCUCUGCUUUUAAUUCAACUCAUCUAUCAAUCAAAAUUUUGAUUUUUUUUUCAUAGUCAUAUUUAGUACAUUAUAGAAUUCUCUUUUCCAAAUGUUUUCUUAACAAUGGAUGAACUAAAUAUGAACUGCUUGAAAAUUCAUAUUUAAUUCAUGUUUCGUUAAAAAAUUCUAUUUUUUUUAGGACAUUCGUAUAAUAUUCUAAAUAUUCAUAUAGAAAAAAUAUUCAAAAAUUUGAAAGGUACACAUGACCUGACUUAAAAAUAGUAACAAAAAGUGUGGACAAGAGAACUAAGAAUCAGAACAAAAAUCAAGAGAACUAAAACGAAAAGUAAGAAUUUUUAUAGGGUAAGAAAAAUAUUUAAGCCUAAAUAGAUAAUAGGCUUAAUACAUGCUUUGGUCCCUUAACUUAUUUUUGGAUUUCAUUUUGGUCCCCUAACUAUAAAGUGUCUCAAUUUGGUUCCAUAAAUCUUCUUCCGUUUACUAUUUUGGUCCCCUCCGUUAGUUUUUUAAUGUCAAAUAUUUAUGAUAUAAUUUCAACCAUUAGAUUGCAGGUCCAUUAAAUACAAUGUGAACCAUCACCACAUAAUUUUUUCCCCUUCUUCAUCUUCUUCUUUCCACCCCUUCUCAUAUUCAUACAAAAUUCAAGGAACAUUUUUAUUUUAUUUUAUAAAAAGAACAUUUUAUUAAAGAAUUAACCAACAUUACAAAUGGACAUAAUGUGAUCUGGAACGGAUUCCAUCCACACAACAUACGAAAGUAUAUUUGGCUAGCUCAUGAGCCAAUUUAUUCUCAUCCCUCUUAGUAAAUUGAAAUUUACACUUUAUAAAAAAGACUUUUCAUAUUUCUAAUGCCCAGCACUAUCUUUCCCAUGUAAGAUCUAGAAACAUAAACACUUCCGUUCACCCUUUUUACGAGUUUAUCGCAGUCACUCUCGAACUACUGCCCCUAAUCCCCAGGUAUCAAUUUCAGACAAAUUAGCAUCACUAUUAGCUUUUACAUAAUCAGCUUCUGGUUUGUUCCAUCUAAUUUGUGUGUUUCGGUGUUGGGUGUGGUGUUGUGUUUGAUUUAGAAUCAUGCAACAAGGAGAGAUAAUUUUUUUAUGAUGUUGUUGUUUCAAAGCACCAUGUUGUUGUUGUGCUGUUUAUGUGCUGAAUUUGGAGAAAUUCAUUUUUUUUUAAUUCAUGAUGAUGAUGAUGAAAAGAAUAAAAAAGGGUUGAAUUUGAUUUUUUGAUGUGUUGUUGCUGCUAUUGAUGAUGAUUUCUGGAUUUUUGUAGAAAAAAAAAAAAUCAGGGUUUUAAUUCUAUUUGAAGGUUUAUGUAUUUUAAUUUAAUGAAGUUUGUUGUUGUUUUAGUUUGAGUUUUCGGUUAAUUAAGUUUUUGGUCCCUAUAAAUAUCUGCAGUUUUGUUUUUAGUCCCUAUAAAAAUAAAUCACACUUUUUAGUCCCUACAAAAUUUUCCGUUAGUGUUUUUAGUCCCUGUUAAAUUAAAAUUUGUUUAAUUAUGCUUAAAAUUUUAAAUUUUUUAAUGAUUUUUUACAUACUUGUUCAUAACAUCGUAAGACACUCUUUUGUAAAAAAAUUUAGUUUUUUAACAUGUAAUGAAUUAAGUAUGAAUUUUUCUAAAAGCCAAAUUUUCAAUAUUAUAUUAAUGAAAAUUUGGACCUAAUAAUAAAAUUUUAAGUUAUUUUUUUGCGGAGGAACUUUGUAUAAUAUUCUAAGUAAGUAUAUGAAAAAUAUGUUACAAAUUUAAAAGUUUAAGCACAAUUAAGCAAGUAUUAAUUUUACAAGGACUAAAAGUAUUCGUUGGUCCCUGUUAAAUUGAAAAUUGUUUAAUUAUACUUAAACUUUUAUAUUUUUAAAUGAUUUUUAACAGACAUGUUAAGAACAUUAUAAUAAUCUCUUUUAUAAAAAAUUAGAAUUUUUUAACAUGUAAUGAAUUAAAUAUAAUUUUUUUAAAAAUAAAAUUUUUAAAAAUAAAAUUUUGAGCUAAUCUAUUGUGGCGGAACCUUUUAUAAUGUUUUAAACAAGUAUGUAAAAUAUCAUUAAAAAAUUUAAAAUUUUAAGCAUAAUUAAACAAAUUUUAAUUUAACAGGGACUAAAAACACUAACGGAAAAUUUUGUAGGGACUAAAAACAAAACUACAGAUAUUUAUAGGGACCAAAAACUUAAUUAACCCUUGAAUUUUUUAUAUGAAGUUUUGUGCUUCUGAUUUUUUUGCUUUCCUGGGUAGGAUUGAUGAAGAUGAUGAGAGAAGAAGAUGAAGAAAAUGAGAAAAGUGUUAGGUGUUAGUGGUUCACAGGAAAGUGCAAUAGACCCUACAUAAUUCAACGGUCCUUUUUUAAAGAAUAAAUCAAAUGGUUAAAAUUAGAAAAUUUAAUACGGUUUAUGGUGAACCACCUUUAAAUAUGGUUCACCUCAGACUUUUGAUAUAAUCUGCACGAUAAUAUUGUUUAAUUUAGCCUUUUUUUUUUUAAAGAGGAGAAACAAUUUUUUGAUGACAAGAUUAAUCCACAUACCCAUACCCAAGAGGGUGGAUAUAUGGAUUAAGGCAUGAUGGUUUAAGAGCUCUACAUCAUUUUUAACCUUCAAGAGACGCUCGAUGUGAUUGUUCCGUCAUAGUUCUCAACACUAAACAUUAGCUUUCCAAAUUCACAUCUAAAUAUUCACACCUAAGAGAGUGGAUCACUAGAAGGUUUUCCUCGUUGUUGUAACACUUAAGAUAAUGAUUAGUGUUAGUUUGACAAAUUAAACCAUGAGAAAAAUAGAUUUUGAUGCCUCAAAAUUCAACUCAUUUUUUUUUUGUCAAAUUGAUAUUGAUCGGUUCAGUAUUUCAAUCGAGGAUCCGAGUAAAUCACUUAUUGAAGUGGUCCAUCAUAUAUAGCUUGUCUUUUUACUUUUUCAAAAAAAAAAAAAAAGAGUUGAAUAUUGGAACUCACGAGAGACUUCGACUCAAACAUGAUAAAUAUACUUACAAAUUAU
rnacentral:lncRNA from 1 species